GGAUUUUCGAGGCUGUGGCGAGUGGGAGUUUGCACAGGCCACGCUGAGAGGGGAACCACAGGACCUCACGUUGGCACACGAAGGGGAUUGGAAACUUGCCAUUGUACUAUACUGGAUUUUCAUUCAAAAUAAACUACAGUCAGAACAGCUGGAGCAUGUACUACUGGAUAGUUUCUACACUCUCUUCUCUGCAAAAUACCUCAGCUUUCCUCACCCUGUACUUACAAAGAGCUGAUAUGACCUGACACAAACCCUUAUUUUACCAAAUGUCAAUUCGCAAAUAUCUUACACCCUACAAGCAACCAUAUUGCUUCUUAACAACUCUGGUUCCUCCUACAACACUUAUUGCACUACCAUUCUGAAGUAUGGAUCCUGGGGGAAAAACAAUCACUAAAGUUCUCUGCUCUGCUCCACCCACUAGAGCAAUUUUUUCAGCUGGUCCAUUUGAAGUCUCAUGCAUUUAAUGUUCUGCACGGUAAAAACAAACAUAAGCAGUUGGCAUGAUUAUUGCAUUCGUGAAACUGUCAUCUCUCAGUGUCUUAGAAGCAAAGGCAGUUCCAUUUAUG